UACAGAGGUCUCAAGCGUUGUUCGGAUUCAUUGGGCGUAAAGGGUGCGUAGGUGGCGCCGUAAGUCGGGUGUGAAAUUUCGAGGCUUAACCUCGAAACUGCAUUCGAUACUGCGGUGCUUGAGGACUGGAGAGGAGACUGGAAUUCAUGGUGUAGCAGUGAAAUGCGUAGAGAUCAUGAGGAAGACCAGUGGCGAAGGCGGGUCUCUGGACAGUUCCUGACGCUGAGAAGCGAAAGCAUGGGGAGCGAACAGG
rnacentral:rRNA from 1 species